UACGUAGGGGGCUAGCGUUGUCCGGAAUCAUUGGGCGUAAAGCGCGUGUAGGCGGUCCGGUAAGUCCGCUGUGAAAGUCGGGGGCUCAACCCUCGAAUGCCGGUGGAUACUGUCGGGCUAGAGUGCGGAAGAGGCGAGUGGAAUUCCUGGUGUAGCGGUGAAAUGCGCAGAUAUCAGGAGGAACACCAAUUGCGAAGGCAGCUCGCUGGGACGUUACUGACGCUGAGGUGCGAAAGCGUGGGGAGCGAACAGG
rnacentral:rRNA from 1 species